CUGAUAACAUGCAUUAGUAGCAAUAUUAAAUAAGGUAAAAUAACUCCAGUGACAUCCUAGUUACAUGCUUGGGGUGGGUUUUUGGUUUCGUUUUAAAGUAUUUAUGAGGGAUACUUUCAUGCAUUUUCCAUGAAACUAAUUUUUCUCUUUCUUUUUUUAGCUUCAGCUUUAGCUGCAGCUGCCUCUGUUCAGCCACUUGCAACACAAUGUUUCCAACUCUCUAACAUGUUUAACCCUCAAACAGAAGAAGAAGUUGGAUGGGAUACCGAGAUUAAGGAUGAUGUGAUUGAAGAAUGUAAUAAACAUGGAGGAGUUAUUCAUAUUUAUGUUGACAAAAAUUCAGCUCAGGGCAAUGUGUAUGUGAAGUGCCCAUCAAUUGCUGCAGCUAUUGCUGCUGUCAAUGCAUUGCAUGGCAGGUGGUUUGCUGGUAAAAUGAUAACAGCAGCAUAUGUACCUCUUCCAACUUACCACAACCUGUUUCCUGAUUCUAUGACAGCAACACAACUACUGGUUCCAAGUAGACGAUGAAGGAAGAUAUAGUCCCUUAUGUAUAUAGCUUUUUUUCUUUCUUGAGAAUUCAUCUUGAGUUAUCUUUUAUUUAGAUAAAAAUAAAGAGGCAAGGAUCUACUGUC
rnacentral:sRNA from 1 species